UACGAAGGGACCUAGCGUAGUUCGGAAUUACUGGGCUUAAAGAGUUCGUAGGUGGUUGAAAAAGUUGGUGGUGAAAUCCCAGAGCUUAACUCUGGAACUGCCAUCAAAACUUUUCAGCUAGAGUAUGAUAGAGGAAAGCAGAAUUUCUAGUGUAGAGGUGAAAUUCGUAGAUAUUAGAAAGAAUACCAAUUGCGAAGGCAGCUUUCUGGAUCAUUACUGACACUGAGGAACGAAAGCAUGGGUAGCGAAGAGGAUUAGAUACCCUCGUAGUCCAUGCCGUAAACGAUGUGUGUUAGACGUUGGAAAUUUAUUUUCAGUGUCGCAGCGAAAGCGAUAAACACACCGCCUGGGGAGUACGACCGCAAGGUUAAAACUCAAAUGAAUUGACGGGGACCCGCACAAGUAGUGGAGCAUGUGGUUUAAUUCGAAGAUACGCGCAGAACCUUACCAACACUUGACAUGUUCGUCGCGACUCUAAGAGAUUAGAGUUUUCGGUUCGGCCGGACGAAACACAGGUGCUGCAUGGCUGUCGUCAGCUCGUGUCGUGAGAUGUUGGGUUAAGUCCCGCAACGAGCGCAACCCUCACUUUUAGUUGCCAUCAUUAAGUUGGGCACUCUGAAAGAACUGCCAGUGAUAAGCUGGAGGAAGGUGGGGAUGACGUCAAGUCCUCAUGGCCCUUACGUGUUGGGCUACACACGUGCUACAAUGGUAUCUACAACAGGAAGCAAGACUGCGAAGUUAAGCAAAUCCCUAAAAGAUACCUCAGUUCGGAUUGCACUCUGCAACUCGAGUGCAUGAAGCUGGAAUUACUAGUAAUUGUGGAUCAGCGUGCCACGGUGAAUGCGUUCCCGGGUCU
rnacentral:rRNA from 1 species